rnacentral:rRNA from 1 species
UACGUAGGGUGCGAGCGUUGUCCGGAAUUAUUGGGCGUAAAGAGCUCGUAGGCGGUUUGUCACGUCUGCUGUGAAAUCCCGAGGCUCAACCUCGGGCCUGCAGUGGGUACGGGCAAACUGGAGUGCGGUAGGGGAGAAUGGAAUUCCUGGUGUAGCGGUGGAAUGCGCAGAUAUCAGGAGGAACACCGAUGGCGAAGGCAGUUCUCUGGGCCGUAACUGACGCUGAGGAGCGAAAGCGUGGGGAGCGAACAGG